GGCAUAUGGAGGUUCCCAGGCUAGGGGUCGAAUCGGAGCUGCAGCCACCAGCCUACGCCAGAUCCACAGCCACGUGGGAUCCCACCCGCGUCUUCAACCUACACCACAGCUCACGGCAACGCCAGAUCCUUAACCCACUGAGUGAGGCCAGGGAUCGAACCUGCAACUUCGUGGUUCCUAGUCAGAUUUGUUAACCACUGCGCCACAACAGGAACGCCUCAAAAUAGCUUUAGACUCAAAAAGCUGUUGCAAGCAAGCAGAGCUGGCUGACACCCUCCUCCUCACGUCCGAGGUUCACGUCCUACGGAACCAGACCAGGCUGAUCCAGCCGGGAAAUUAACAUGAUGCGGUACUUCAACUAAUCUGUGGGUUUUACUCGUGUUCCCCAACUGUCCCCCAACAUGCUUCUUUGUGUUGGGGCUCCGAUCCCACUGCGUUCAGCGCUGGCGUCUCCUCGGCCCCGGGCAGGUCUAUGGGCUUCCUUCAUCUCUCACAAGCCGAAUGCUCUGGAAAAUCACAGCGGGUGAUUCUGUCGAAUGUCCCUUGAACUGGGCUAACCUGAUAUCUCCUCGUGACUGAGCGGAUUAUGCAUUUUGGCAAAAGAGCAACGCAGAAGUCUCAGCGCGUCCCAUCAGCAAGGACGUGGUGCCUAUUCAUCCUCCUACAGACACGGUCAGCCCUCCGUAGCCAUGGGUUCGGGAUCCAGAGGAUUCAACUGGGGAAUGAAAACAUUUAGAAAAAUUUUUUCCAGAAGUUCCCCUGGUGGUGCAGCAGGAACCCAGCCUUGGCGCGGGUUCAAUCCCUGGCCCAGGAAUUUUGCGUGCUGAGGGCAUAGCCCCAAAAUUUCUUUUUAAAUUUUUUCUAGAAAUUUCCAAAGAGCAAAUUUCCAGUGCCAGCCAAUAUUAACAUGAUAUGGACAGCCGUUUACAUAGCGUUGGCCUUUUAUCAGGGAUCGUAAGUUAUCUAGAGGUGACUUAAAAUACACACCGGAGUGCUCAUGAGUGAUAUGCAAAUACUUUUACACCAGGGGCUUGAGCAUCUGUGGAUCUUGGUGCCUGAGGGGGUCCUGGAACCAAUCACCCUCAGAUAACGAAGGCCGGUUGCACCGCUAACGUUGGUCCCUCAGGGGUGUCAGCCAGUUUCCUCGCCGUGGGGUCCCCCUUUCCCUCUGCAACUGAUCCACAGCUGGGAGGAGACGUACCGAGGCCGCAGCUCUGACUUCCCAGCAGGCUCGCCCCUGCCACGUUUAGCACCAACAGAUGGGUCUGGCCUACGCCGGUGAUAACCACGGUGGUGCUGGCCUCAGGGGAAUUUUCUUUCCCUUUCCUUGCCUUUCUUUUCUUUUCCUUUUUAGGGCCACACCUGCAGCAUAUGGAUGUUCCCAGGCUAGGGGUCGAAUGGGAGCUACAGCUGCCAGCCUCACCAAAGCCACGGCAACACCAGAUCCUUAACCCACUGAGCGAGGCCAGGGAUUGAACUGGCAUCCUCAUGUAGACACUGUCGAGUUCUUAACCCACUGAGCCACAGUGGGAACUCCUAUUUCCAUCACCCAUGCUACCCUUAUCCUUGUAAUUCUGCUACACGGAGGCACUGACCCGUCCUCUCCGUGUGCGUGUAUGCGUGUGUGUGUGUGUGUCUGCUUAGUCAGUUAUUCUGUAAUUGAUCUUACUCUAUAGAUUCAUAAUUUCUAUUGUUAUUUAUUUUGUUCCAGUUCUCCCAGAUUUGACCAUGGGAGCUUGUCAAGCAGGCUCCUGGGUUCUUUCAACACACCUCAUCAUUUUGUGAACACUUCCUUAAUUUCUGGUCACAGUUGUUCCAAGCUCCUCAUGUGUUUUCCCAACCCCGCCCUGAAGUCCUGUUUCCUUUCCUCUGAAACUAGUAUCUGGCCUCUGGGUGGGCUCCCCGCCCCUGGACUCCACCUCCUCUGGGCCCCCCACCAGCAGACAGAGCUGGGGGGCGGUGUAGACGGCACCCACCGAGAGUCUAUUCCUCCACCUCCCAGUCACUCUCUCCUCCUCUUCCCCGAAUGUGCAGCAUCUUUUUCUGACACCGAGAAACCUGGCUUCCAUCACCCGUUUACGUAUGUGCUCAAUCGUAGAUUAAACACCAUGCAGUUCGGGAUUUCUUGUCCAGAUUGCUGUGCAAAACAUCUUUCCUAAUGAGAGCGAAAUAUUUCUGUACCGACGGCUCCGUCUGGAGGCCACCGCUCAGUCCCUACACCUGUUCCCAAAGGUAGCGGGUCCAGCCUCUCCCCGCUCCUUCCCUUCAGCACAUCGAGGCUCCUCUGGAACCAGUGUCCACUCGGGCUGCCCCACAUCCCGGCAGAUUGUACUUGUCUGGGGAGUUUUCUAGAACCAAAAGGGACCCAGAGGUGCCGCUCUCUCUUGCCUUCCUCUUCUCCGUUCUCCUCCCUCAUCCUCUCCGCCCACGUCCCACCCUCCCGGGCUGGUGACCGCUGCCAAGCAUUUCAUUCUUAUGCUCGGGCGUUUCUUUUGCACAAAACAGCCGAUACAGGAAUACUUUCCCACUUCCUCCUCCUUUCGGACGUGAGGGCGGGGUACUAAGACACUCUUUUGUAUUUUGCUUUUUUCACUUAGCAAGAUGUCCUGGAGUGUCCGUAUCGGUUCUUAAAGGUCACGCUCAAUCUCUCUCUCCUUUUUUUAUAAACAGCUGCCUCAAACCACCCUGUGUCCCAGCGUUUUCUCAAUGACUACUUAGGCUCUUUCUAAAACGUUUCCAUAACAAAUGAUGCUACAGUGAAUAACAUAAUGCACACACAUGUCUCUGUGGAGUCAUGCGUUAUCUAUGGCUACACAGAAAAUUACCUCCAAACACAAUGAAGUGGGGAGGGGGCAGGGCCCUCCCAGACCAAGGCCAAGGCAACAUGCCACAGCAGCAUCUGUGGUACAGGUGCAGGUCGGCAACAAUGUAGCAUAAUCUGUAUCCAUGAGUGGAGGCCUAUCUCUGUUUGCUCAAAAUUCAUAGAACACCUUAGAAGGGGGACAAAGAAAUUUAGAUGUAACUGGAAAUAUAAGGGGUAUAUAAGGCGAUGCCCCGCUGCCUUCAGGGCUCAGCCUCUGGAUAUGAAUCCACUGAGCCAGUGCCGGCACGAAUAAAUGCUGCUUCCUGGCAAAAAGCCUUGGUGUCUCGUUUCUCUGUACCGAAGCCCUGCAACAAUAAGUUAAAACAACAUAGUUUAUCACCUCAUAGAAUCUGUGGGCCAGAAACCUACGCUUAGCUGGGUUGUCUGGCUUUAGGGUUGCAAGAAAGAAUAAUAAUAAUUCGCCAUUGGACAACGUCAGGGACCUUCCGUUCUUCAAAGACUGUAGGUCAUAUUCUGAGCCCUGUCCUCGGAGCUGUUCUGCGGGUGCGGAAGCCCCACCGGGUGGAAGACGGCCACUGCGUGCUGCCCCCAAGCACGGGGACCCCAGACCGGCUGGAACCAGAAGGCUGAUGACGCUGACUCCCAGGGACCCCACCACCCGCCAGUCAGGAAAGGCUCCCCGAGCUGAGCACGCCCGGCUGCUUGACACCCUAAGACGCCUCACAACCCCUGGGCUGGGGGCAGGCACAGUCACUGAGGCUCUAGCCUGCGGUGUCCCCUCUUUGCCUGGCACUUACAGCUACUUCUCCUGUGUCAUCUGACUCUAUCUCCGUGUUACUACUUGGCACCUGUGCGCACAGGCAGCUGGGAUUUCGGCAACCCUCCCUUCUCCUCUCCCUCCGUCUAUGAUCCGGUGACUUCUGCUGUAAAUUCACUCCUAGACUCUUAAUUGCAGUCAAAUUAUCCUGCCAAAGGGAGCCAGCUCAGCCCAUGUCAGACAUAUUUAUUAUGGCAAAUUGUAAAAAGGCCUUUUGUCUUGUACCUCCGUCACCAGAACACUCCAGUUUUUGAGGGCUUUCACAGCCCUCGGCACUGAGAGAGCCUGGGAGGCCAGGAGCCCAGUCCCCCGGCCUUCCCUACAAAGACACGGCACCAUAAUAAUCCUAAAAGACACUCCCAGGUGCAUACACGGCCCUCCUGCUUUCUCAUCAGGAAUUGCGGUUCCUGUCUCAGGAUGGUUGGAGCCCUGAUGGCAAAGUGCAGAAUCUCCUCUGACCAGUUGAAGCAGAAAAGGUAUUUACGAAAUGCUAUGCAGUUGGCUAUAGAAUCAUGCAGAAUGGGAACAAGUUUUAAGUCUGCAUUUCCGGGGAGCAGGGGGAGGAUGUGGGACGGACUGGGAUUCGGGGGUUAGAGGUGCAAACGAUUGCAUUUAGGAUGGAUGAGCAACGAGGUCCUACUGCACAGCACAGGGAACUCCAUCCAAUCACCGGGAUAGAACGUGAUGGAAGAUACUACAAAUAUGAGGACUGGGUCAGUGUGCUGGGCAGCAGAAAUUGGCACAACCUUGUAAAUCAACUACAGUCAAUGAAAACAUAAGUUUAAAAUAAAAAAGCUGUGUUUCCAGGACCAACACGAGGUCUGUGCGAUGGGACCAGGCAGGUGAGAAAGCUGCUUCCGCAGAUUAGGGCUUGGGCUUCUGGUACCAGAACCGAUGCCUCUUCUCAGUGAUGGAAGCUCCACCUAGGCUCGCAAAGUGGACAUUCCGCAGACAGCCUGCUUCCAGUGACGGUGGCUUCCCAGCGCAGUGUCACGUGGGAGGGCCUCAGUGCACAGAGGGGGACCCCUAGCCUGCCUGCUGGGGGCCUGUUAGGAAGCAGGAGAUGUGGGAACUUCCUAGAAGAUGCAGAUCUAUUUUAAUCCUUGGGGGCUAAGAUUGUGACCGAAGGACCUACUGCCCCCUGAGGAGGGAGACGAUCGAGCAGCCCCAGAACUGCCCCAGGCCCGAGGACCCAAGAUGCCAUGUCACACCUGAGCCAGCGGAUGCCAACGCGGGAACACGGCCACUUCUCUGGGGGCUCGUCUGAUUCUCCUUUAUGUGGGAAAAGGAAGCCUUUUCUAUAAAGUUUGCUGAGUUCUCUCUGGUAUGUUCAGGAAGUUUCCAGACUAUUUUAACCACAUUGUAAGCUUGCCUAUUCACCUGAGACGCCACCUCACGGGUCAGGAGAGCUUCCGAGCAGCGUUGACAGGGAGCCACUGCCACGAUCCAUCCCCUGCCUUUCAAGUGGCUUAUGCCCAAGUGGCUCAUGCGUCCAAAUUGUGUUUAAGGACUUACUCUUUGCUCUAAGUAGCAAGUUCUGGAAACUACACAGGAAAGGAGUAUGAGGUUAUAUAAUUCUUUUGGGGGGAGGGGUGUGCCUGUUGCAUGUGGAAAUUCCUAGGGCAAGGAAAAGCUGUGACCUGAGCCAUGGCAGGUCCUUAACCUGCUGUGCCACCAGGGAGCUCUGAGGUUAUAUCGUCUUAAUUACAUAGAGAGGAUUUUCGAAGAAAGUGGGAUGUGGUUUAGCUUUAAGUGGAGCAAACCCUGAGAGACCGGAUCCGUCCAUGACAGGCCGUUGCUAUCGUCUACUCAGUAAUAUGGAUUAUUCUCUCUGUACGGCUCCGCUUUCUCUACUAAUGUGACAUCCGUUGGACACAUGCAGAGGAAGGACGUCGUAGGCCCAGAGCUGCUGAGCGGAGGCUGAUUUAACGUGCCACGCGUCGUGCCCUUGUUUCACUCUUGGCCCAAAGCGAAGGCACUGCAAGGAGACGCUCUGGGCCCUCGCCCAGCUUCCAGCUGUCUCGUGCUGGCCCUCACCCUGGCUUUUGGGGAAAACUGUGCCGAAAGGGGUGCUGCUGCCAGAAACCAAGCACCCGGGGGCAGGCAAAACUCUUGGGGGUUUGUAUUGUUAAGUACCUUACUCUAUAGUGGCUAUAAGGUUUGAGGUGUGUGAACCACUUAGAGGGUAUUUGAUUGUGCUAAAAAUAUAUAUAAAGAAAAGACUCCAUUUUGACCUCUGAGUGAAGAGAGGAAUUCAGACUAAAAAAAAAGUUUUUUUUAACAUGUGUUGCCUUUGCUUAAGUUGCGAAGUCUUGAGACCAUCUGUGUCCUCAAAAAUUUCCCUACAGGGAGUUCCUGCUGUGGCGCAGUGGAAACGAAUCCGACGCGUGGCCACGAGGACGUGGGUUCCAUCCCUGGACUCACUCAGUGGGUUAAGGACCCAGUGUUGUUGUGAGCUGUGGUGUAGGUCGCAGACUCGGCUCGGAUCCUGCAUUGCUGUAGCUGUGGUGAAGGCUGGCAGCUGCAGCUCUGACUCAACCCCUAGCCUGGAAACUUCUAUAGGCAGUGGGUGCAGCCCUAAAAUAAAAAAUUAAAACACUUAAAAUCUCUCUACAGGAAAAUGAAACACUGACCCACUCGAGGGCAAGAGAACAUGGGAGGAUUAUUUGAAUGUAUACAAGGCGAGCUUUGGUGUAAAAAUGCAUAGUAUGGUAUGUAGGAAAUUUGGAUAUUAUUAUUUUCAUUGAAAAAGUUAUAACUCAAAAAAGGCACAAGAUGAAACGUUCCCAUCAGGAGAAGAUAUGUGACUGAUUUACUUUGCUGCACACUUGAAACUGA
rnacentral:lncRNA from 1 species